UUCCAAGAAUGUCAAGCUAAUGCCAGUUUCGAAGUUAAGGGUUGUGUUUUACUUUUAUAUAAGAUGCAGUAUCCUUUAAGUAAGGAUAUAUGUUUCGAUAGUGCUCCAACUAGCGAGAAAUAUUUUACAGAUCUACAGAAAAUUGAAGAGAAAACAGAGAUAUGCAAAGAAAAGAACUGCAGAAAAGCCUGUUUAGAAGAAAACUACAUAGCAACUAAAGACUCAGUAGAAACAAAUCGUAAGG